rnacentral:rRNA from 1 species
AUGGUGUCGCGGGGGCUGUUCGGCUGGUCCCCGCCGCACGUGCAGCCGCUCACGCCGGUCUCCGAGACCUCCGAGCCGCCCGAGUCGCCCUCGCCCUACGCGGCCGACGCAUUCGGCGUCGGCGGCCCCGGGGACCCGCCCCGCCACCCCGACGGCGCGGGCCCCGAGGACGACGGCGGCGACGACGACGGGGCCGACGGCGAGGACCCCGAGCCCCCGCCCGCGGCCGUGCCCUUCAAGCGCCUCUUCGCCUGCGCCGACCGCCUCGACUGGGCGCUCAUGGCCGCGGGCGGCGCCGCGGCCGCCGCCCACGGGGUCGCGCUCGUCGUCUACCUCCACCUCUUCGGCCGCGCCAUCAACUCCCUCCACGGCCGCCACACCGACCAGCUCUUCCGCGACAUCAAGCAGCAUGCUUUAUACUUCCUCUAUAUAGCAAUUGGUGUGUUCUUUGCUGGAUGGAUAGAGGUUUCAUGCUGGAUUUUAACUGGGGAAAGGCAGACAGCGGUGAUAAGGUCAAAGUAUGUCCAAGUCUUGUUAAACCAAGACAUGAGUUUCUUUGAUACCUAUGGAAACAAUGGUGAUAUUGUUAGUCAAGUGCUGAGUGAUGUCUUGCUCAUUCAGUCUGCCCUGAGCGAGAAAGUUGGAAACUACAUCCACAAUAUGGCUACAUUUUUUGGUGGACUUGUCAUUGGUUUGGUGAACUGUUGGCAAAUAGCUCUUUUGACAUUGGCCACUGGACCCUUCAUUGUUGCUGCAGGAGGAAUAUCAAACAUAUUUCUCCAUAGGCUGGCAGAAAAUAUUCAGGAUGCGUAUGGCGAGGCAGCAAGCAUUGCUGAACAGGCAAUCUUAUACAUUAGGACUUUGUACUCCUUCACGAAUGAGACCCUGGCAAAGUAUUCUUAUGCUACUUCGCUUCAAGCGACUCUGCGCUAUGGGAUUCUGAUAAGUCUGGUGCAAGGUCUUGGUCUCGGAUUUACAUAUGGGCUCGCCAUAUGUUCUUGUGCCUUACAACUUUGGGUCGGGAGAUUCCUUAUUUUGCAUGGAAGAGCCAAUGGUGGUGAAAUUGUAGUUGCCCUGUUUGCUAUUAUUCUGAGUGGACUUGGACUUAAUCAAGCAGCAACGAACUUCUAUUCCUUCGAGCAAGGGCGUAUAGCUGCAUACAGACUCUAUGAAAUGAUAAGCCGUUCAACUUCUACUGUAAACCAGGAUGGUCGUACCUUAAAUUCAGUACAAGGCAACAUCGAGUUUCGUAAUGUCUACUUCAGUUAUCUCUCCCGCCCAGAAAUCCCCAUCUUAAGUGGCUUCUACCUUACUGUACCUGCUAGAAAGACUGUUGCUCUUGUUGGCAGAAAUGGUUCAGGAAAAAGCAGCAUAAUACCUCUCAUGGAGCGAUUCUAUGACCCAACCUUAGGUGAAGUACUUUUGGAUGGGGAGAAUAUAAAGAACUUAAAGCUAGAGUGGUUAAGAAGCCAAAUAGGACUUGUGACCCAAGAACCAGCAUUGUUGAGCUUGAGCAUUCGGGAAAAUAUCGCCUAUGGAAGAUCUGCUACAACUGACCAGAUUGAGGAGGCAGCCAAAACAGCUCAUGCACAUACUUUCAUCAGUUCGCUAGAAAAAGGAUAUGAAACCCAGGUUGGCCGUGCUGGGCUUUCGCUGACUGAGGAACAAAAGAUAAAGCUCUCCAUUGCUCGUGCUGUGCUCUCAAAUCCAUCAAUUCUUUUGCUGGAUGAGGUUACUGGUGCUCUUGAUUUUGAGGCUGAGAAAGCUGUUCAGGAAGCACUAGAUGUUUUGAUGCUCGGGAGGUCUACUAUCAUUAUAGCCAGACGUCUCAGCCUUAUCAGGAAUGCUGAUUAUAUAGCGGUGAUGGAGGAAGGCCAACUUGUUGAGAUGGGGACACACGAAGAAUUGUUAAAUCUUGAUGGUCUUUAUGCUGAACUUCUUAAGUGUGAAGAAGCAGCAAAACUUCCGAAGAGGACACCUAUGAGAAACUACAAAGAGCCCAGCUCCUUCCAAAUUGAACGGGAUUCGUCAGCAAGUCACAGCUUCCAGGAGUCAUCUUCUCCUAUCAUGUCAAAAUCACCUUCACUUCAGAAAACACAUGGUUUUCUUGCAUUUCGAAAUUCUGAUGCUAACCCUAACUCACGUGAGUCGCCAAACAUUCAGAGUCCUCCUUCAGAGCAAAUGGCAGAAAUCAGACUACCAAUGGUUCCUUCUGAGAGAGCUCCAUCCAUCAAAAGGCAGGAUAGUUUUGAAAUGAAAUUGCCUGAUCUUCCCAAAAUCGAUGUCCCCCUACAUCGACAGUCUUCAAAUACUUCAGAUCCAGAAUCACCAAUAUCACCAUUAUUGACUUCUGAUCCAAAAAAUGAGCGUUCCCACUCGAAAACUUUCAGCCGAACUCUUGAUAUGUUCGAUAAUUUUCGUUCUGAUCCAUCAAAGAAGCAUCAAACAAAGGCUCCAUCAUUUUGGAAGCUUGCUGAGCUUAGCCUUACCGAGUAUUUUUAUGCUCUGCUGGGGAGUGCUGGUGCUGCCUGCUUUGGUUCAUUUAAUCCUCUUCUUGCUUAUACGAUAUCCUUAAUACUGGUGGCAUACUACAGAAUAGGUGUCCGCGAUGUACAUGAUGAAGUGAACAAGUAUUGCUCAUUCAUUGUUGGCAUGGGUAUAAUUACUGUGCUGGCUAACUUCUUGCAACACUUCUAUUUUGGUAUAAUGGGAGAGAAAAUGACUGAGCGUGUAAGAAGGAUGAUGUUUUCAGCAAUUCUGCGCAAUGAAGUCGGAUGGUUUGAUGAUGAGGAGAACAGUGCGGACAUUUUGUCAAUGCGACUCGCAAAUGAUGCAACAUUUGUUCGUGCUGCUUUCAGCAACAGGCUUUCUAUAUUCAUCCAAGAUACAUCAGCUAUUUUUGUGGCACUUCUUCUUGGGAUGCUGCUAGAAUGGCGUGUUGCUCUUGUUGCACUCGCAACUUUGCCUAUCCUUGUGAUAUCUGCAGUUGCACAGAAAAUGUGGCUUUCUGGCUUUUCUAGAGGAAUUCAGGAGAUGCACAGAAAAGCUUCUUUAGUUCUUGAAGAUGCAGUAAGGAAUAUCUAUACUGUGGUGGCAUUCUGUGCUGGUAACAAAAUAAUGGAGCUUUACAGAUUGCAGCUUGGAAGUAUUCUCACAAAAAGCUUUGUCCAUGGGAUGGGCAUUGGCUUUGCAUUUGGCUUCUCUCAGUUCCUUCUUUUCGCCUGCAAUGCGCUUCUGCUGUGGUAUACAGCCGUAGCUGUGAAGGCUGGGCAUCUCAGCCUGGUAACAGCACUCAAAGAGUACAUUGUCUUUUCUUUUGCGACUUUUGCACUGGUGGAGCCAUUUGGCCUUGCGCCAUACAUCCUCAAGCGUCGGAAAUCCCUGACCUCAGUCUUUGAGAUCAUUGAUCGUGUACCCAAGAUUGAUCCAGAUGAUGCCAGUGGCCUGAAACCCCCCAAUGUGUAUGGGAGCAUUGAGUUCAGGAGUAUUGAUUUUUGCUACCCAACUCGCCCCGAGAUGAUGGUUUUGAGUAAUUUUAGCCUUAAAGUCAAUGGAGGACAGACUAUCGCUGUGGUGGGUGUAUCUGGGUCAGGGAAGAGCACGAUAAUUUCCUUGAUCGAGAGGUUCUAUGACCCCACUGCUGGCCAAGUUUUGCUGGAUGGCCGUGAUCUGAAGUUGUUCAAUGUGAGAUGGCUGCGGAGCCACAUGGGGCUGGUUCCUCAGGACCCUGUCAUAUUCUCCACAACCAUAAGAGAGAACAUCAUAUACGCGAGGCACAACGCGACGGAGUCCGAGAUGAAGGAGGCUGCCAGGAUCGCCAAUGCCCACCAUUUCAUCAGCAGCCUGCCUCAUGGCUACGACACGCACGUGGGGAUGCGUGGAGUGGAUCUGACACCUGGGCAGAAGCAGCGGAUCGCCAUCGCUCGUGUGGUGCUGAAGAACGCGCCCAUUGUGCUGCUCGACGAAGCCAGCUCCGCCAUCGAGUCCGAGUCAAGCAGGGUGGUGCAGGAGGCGCUUGAUACGUUGAUCAUGGGGAACAAGACGACGAUCCUCAUCGCACACAGGGCGGCCAUGAUGAAGCACGUGGACAACAUCGUGGUGCUGAACGGUGGCAAGAUCGUGGAGCAAGGGACGCACGACUCACUGGUGCAGAUGAAUGGAUUGUACAUCAAGUUGAUGCAGCCUCACUUCACCAAGGGGUUCCGGCAGCGUAGGCUAAUAUAG